rnacentral:rRNA from 1 species
CUUUGGUUCUAUUUUGUUGGUUUCUAGGACCGAAGUAAUGAUUAAUAGGGAUAGUUGGGGGCAUUAGUAUUUAGUUGUCAGAGGUGAAAUUCUUGGAUUUACUAAAGACUAACUUCUGCGAAAGCAUUUGCCAAGGAUGUUUUCAUUAAUCAAGAACGAAAGUUAGGGGAUCGAAGACGAUUAGAUACCGUCGUAGUCUUAACCAUAAACUAUGCCGACUCGGGAUCGGUGGAUUGUAUUAUGCAUUCAUCGGCACCGUAUGAGAAAUCAAAGUUUUUGGGUUCUGGGGGGAGUACGGUCGCAAGGCUGAAACUUAAAGGAAUUGACGGAAGGGCACCACCAGGAGUGGAGCCUGCGGCUUAAUUUGACUCAACACGGGGAAACUCACCA